rnacentral:tRNA from 1 species
GGAGAGAUGGCCGAGUGGCUGAAGGCAACGGUUUGCUAAACCGUCGUACUGGGAAUCCCCGGUACCGAGGGUUCGAAUCCCUCUCUCUCCG